CACCUCGGCCGAUUCUCUACGGUCAUCUAACCUCGGAUGUAUCACGGUAUUUGAUAUGUAUAAACGCCGUGCAUUUGUGAUGCGGUCGCCGUAUCACUCAUUAUGGAUGAGUCUCCGCUGUGCAUAUAGAUCUCCAAAAUGGCGUCAUUCGAACAGUGUUUAAGUAUUUUCUCGAUAAUUGUCCUUUAUUUAAAGAAAACAAUAUCACUUUGAAGGAGAAACAGAUUGAAACGUUGCGAGCAUUAUACGAAGAUCAUGACUGUGUAUCGGUACUACCCACAGGCUACGGCAAAAGUGUGAUAUUUCAGCUGUUACCGUGGUUUUGUCAGCUGAAAAUGGAGAAACGGAAACCAAUGAGCGUGAUAGUCGUGUCCCCGCUGAAUUCCCUAAUCCAGGACCAAGUCAUUACAAUGAGGAAGAAGGGAUUUACUGCUUGCAGUUUGAACUUCACUGGUACUCAUGGCUCAACUUAUACAGAUGCGAUUGCGAGAACGAUGAGGAACAGGAUCAUGAAUAUGUUGAAAUUGAUGUUCCAUUUGAGCAACUGGAGAGAGGAGACUUUUGCAUAAUUUAUUGUCAUCCAGAGUCGACUUCUUAGGUCUCAACUGUACCAAGAGAUCAUUUGUGCAGUAGUCAUAGAUGAAGUCCAUAAGGUUUCAGAAUGGGGAGAAGAAUUCCGUCCUGCAUUCCAGAAGCUUGGGGAGUUAAUGUUCAUUCUAGAGAAAGCUUUGCAUUUAAUUCUCACAGCAACUGCUACACCGAAAUCAAUU